rnacentral:rRNA from 1 species
GACGUAGGGCGCGAGCGUUGUCCGGAUUUAUUGGGCGUAAAGAGCUCGUAGGCGGCUUGUCGCGUCGUCCGUGAAAACUUGGGGCUCAACUCCAAGCUUGCGGUCGAUACGGGCAGGCUCGAGUUCGGUAGGGGAGACUGGAAUUCCUGGUGUAGCGGUGAAAUGCGCAGAUAUCAGGAGGAACACCGAUGGCGAAGGCAGCUCGCUGGGACGGUACUGACGCUGAGGCGCGAAAGCGUGGGGAGCAAACAGG